UGGUCUCUGGAUUUUCCCAGGAUGAGGUUUCCUCCCAAGGCAUGUCAUUUACAUAUCUUCCAGGAUAUAUCUUGGUUAAGUUUUGUGAGAUGAUGUUUGAAAUUCCUGGUCCAGAAUCUUCAAACUGAUGGCCCGAAUUCUUCAUGAGGACAGAGUACACAUGACAAGAAACCUGUUGCUGUCAGACUGUCAACCUGAAUAAAUGAUGACUCUAUGGAAGAAGAAGACAGCUACAGUAUGAAGCUGCCUGCCAUCGGAGAUUGCCUUCUUCCUGGGACCAUUUUUCCUUUGUAGGCAUCACUGGGAGAUGUAAUUUGCAUGCAUAAUAUUAAUUUUGAAAUGGCAAGUCAUCAUUCUUGUACUAUCACAUUCUCUUCGACGAUGUACCUUUAGAUUUAUGCAUUCAAUUAACAUGAAUAAUCAACGAAAUUUUAAGAGCCAGAGAGUGAUUCUUUCUGCCUUAGAUCUCUUCAGAUUUGUGUGAAGAAUCCUUUGCAAUAUAGAUUUCUCUGUUUAAGUAGAUAUUUUCUAAUGAAAAUAUAUUCUUUUUUUAAGUUUGCAUUUUAAUGUGGAGGGCAACCUAACUUGUA